CCCCUAGAUGUUCUGGGCCGCACGCGCGCUACACUGAUGAAUUCAACGAGCUCCUAACCUAGGCCGAAGGGUCCGGGUAAUCUUUGAAAUUUCAUCGUGAUGGGGAUAGAUUAUUGCAAUUAUUAAUCUUCAACGAGGAAUUCCUAGUAAGCGCGAGUCAUCAGCUCGCGUUGAUUACGUCCCUGCCCUUUGUACACACCGCCCGUCGCUCCUACCGAUUGAAUGGUCCGGUGAAAUGUUCGGACCGCGACAAGGCGGACGGUUCGCUGUCAGCUUUGCUGCGGGAAGUUCAUUAAACCUUAUCAUUUAGAGGAAGGAGAAGUCGUANCA
rnacentral:rRNA from 1 species